GAAUUUUGGACAAUGGGCGAAAGCCUGAUCCAGCAAUGCCGCGUGCAGGAUGAAGGCCUUCGGGUUGUAAACUUCUUUUGUACGGAACGAAAAGCUUGGGGUUAAUACCCUGGAGUCCUGCCCGUACCUUAAGAAUAAGAGCCGGCUAGCUACGUUCCCGCAGCCGCGGGAAUACGUAGGGUGCAAGCGUUAAUCGGAAUUACUGGGCGUAAAGCGUGCGCAGGCGGUUUUGUAAGACAGAGGUGAAAUCCCCGGGCUCAACCUGGGAACUGCCUUUGUGACUGCAAGGCUAGAGUACGGCAGAGGGGGGUGGAAUUCCGCGUGUAGCAGUGAAAUGCGUAGAUAUGCGGAGGAACACCGAUGGCGAAGGCAACCCCCUGGGCCUGUACUGACGCUCAUGCACGAAAGCGUGGGGAGCAAACAG
rnacentral:rRNA from 1 species